GAUAAUAUUCCACUGAAACACACACGGUAGCAACCCCCACACUGUUUAUGCUCGUUUGGACACAGGACUCUCCAGGAGGAAACCUGUCCCAUAGCAGGACAGGGAUAAAGGGAAGAGCCUAGAAGGGGAACAAGCUGAAAUGGACCGCAUCACCUGAAAACUCAGCACAGGGGAGCCAAGCUUUAUCCCUCUGAUGGACGAGGACGGAAACCAGCCCUAUCUGUUGGGGAGGACUCUACUCCACAGCCCAAGUGGAUGAAAGCAUAAUCUCCAAAUGAAGAAUGAAGACAUCUGACAUGUGUGUGAGCAUGAAGUUGAAAGGGGCUCUUCACCAAAAUCUGGACAAAUAUUGGAACGCAUAUUUGGGGCAGGGAGACUUCCCUACAUGUCUUCAGGCAUCUGUCACUUCUGGGGACCAUCAGACUUGGCGGGAGAGACACAGUCCUUGACACGGGAGUCUGAAGACUCAGGGAACACGCGUUCACUGCUGUUGUUCUGAAAACCAGGUGGGCUUCUUUGCGCCUCGCCCCCCUAAGUUGCUGGCUGGAGGGGAUUCAGGGGUCCAGAAUGUAUGCCUAGCCCCACAGCCACACGUCCCUGGCUCCAGGGAGCAGCUGCCUCACAGAAUCGAGGGACAUUCUGCCUUGGGGGGAUCCUUGACUCUUCCUGGGUGUCUAUAACUACCAUCGUCUCACAAUUGUAAUUUCUGCUCCCACCUUAUAGAUUUCAACAGCCAAGCCUUUACCCAAGCCCCUGGGACCACCUGCGUGAAACUCCAUCGAAGCACAAACGUGCAGGAAGGCAUAGAUUUGAGGUUCUAAUUCAUGUUUUUUCGAAUAAAUGUAAAAAACAUAAGACUGAAAUUAAAAAU
ensembl:lncRNA